UUGCAACUGAAAUAAGGCAUUUAAGCUACUAAAUUACAUAGUUGUGAGAAAACUUUGCACCGGUUUAUCUACAUUGUUAGUUGUAGUUAUGCACAAUUGUUGCUUAGUAAUUUCUGCACAAGUUGCAUCAGUUGAGAUACUAGCUUGGGACAGUUGAUAUUGGUAUAAAAUUGGUUUAGAUAAAAGAACUAGGGACUACCAAAAUCUGCAGAUAGAACCUUCAGUUUGGAGCAGUGUUUGGCAGCCAGAAUCUGCAAGGUUUGAAUGCGAUUUCUGCACUAUUUGAGCCACAAUUUUCUGCUGAAUUACUUUAUAGUUGUUGCUGAAUUUCGAGUGUAUUUUGAAGAAAGUGCCUAGAAGUUUCAGCAUUCACUUUCCUUUAGCAUUUGUUGCUGUUUAGGAUCCAUUUUGAGAAGUUUUGCCCAGAAAAUUCUACCAAGAAGGGUUUUGGAUUAGUGAGUCACUUGGGUCAUGUUUUGAGAUGCAGAAUUGCAGCACUUCUGUCAACUUCAGGACUAUUGUUAACUGCUUGAGUUACUGCAUAUUUUGAAGUUAAGACUACAUCAGUUCACCACCAGCUUUGGUGUCCAACUUUCACUAAGGAUUUUGGGCAUCAGUUGCACAUGUUUCAGCUCCAGUUUUGCUGAAACUCCCAGAUUAUUUUGCUAAGCUUUUGAGUCUAAAUACCCGAGGGAAGUAUGUUCUAAAGUGUGGUGACUGAUUUUGCAAUUUCUGCACAAUUGAGUUUGCUAAGGAGAUCACCAACAGUCUACAAAUCUCUACAACUGCCCAGUUUUGCAAAUCUGACCAUUUUUGCAAAUAUGUUCAGUUUUUGCGAAUCUGACCAAAAUUUGAGAGAGUGUCUAGAUUUGUAGUUUCUUUUCUUUUCUUUCUUCCAAUUUGUAGAAACUAAACUCUAAACUUGAUACAAGCCGGAUGAGCACGCUUAACGAGGAUGAAUUCCUAGUCAACGUCAUAGCAUUAGAGUGCUUUAAAGGAGUCAAGAAGGCUAUAUUUGCAAUUUAGCUAUUUAGGCUAGAUUUAGCUUCAUUUACUAGCUAAGAGUAUUUUGGUCAUUUAGCCUAAAUAACACUCUAAUAUAAAUAUUUCUUUCUCAUUUUGAAACGGGGCUUUUGCUGAUGGAUUGAUAAACUAAGACCAAACAUUGAGAUAUUUAGAGUAUCUUUUAUUUAUCUUUAUUUACCAUGUGUUCUAGAUUAUCUAUGUUAGGUUUAUCAUAUAUGAGUUCACGUUUAUACUCUUGGAUUAUCUUUUGUAUUUGAAUGUUAAUUCGUUGUUCUAGUUUAUAUAUCUUCCGGGGGCUUUGAAAUUCAUUCUUUUACUUAGCUUAAUCCGUAUUUCUUAUUAGUGUUCUUCUUCGAUUAGUGUUUAUCAUAGUAAAUUCAAGGGGUCUAACUAGUUCAUAGUUAUGUUCUCGUAUUUCUCUAUUUUAAACCCUAAUCUCCUAUCUUUUUGAUUCUGUGUAUUUUUUCAUUAUUCAUAUUCUCUAUACGAUUUCGUAUCAUCUUGGUAUCAGAGCGGAGGUUUUGGAUUGUUGUAUCUAUGUCUUUGUUUUGAUUAUCAUCAAAAUCUGAAAAUAAUAAAUAAAUAAAUUGAAAAUUCCAAAAAAGGGAAAGAUUACUACUGUACAUCUGACUAUUUUGAGACUAAAAUUAGAAAUCCAUGUCUCUCUGUGCUUGAAAUUUUGAUUCAGAAAAUUAUUGAAUCCACUGAAAUUGAUUGAUUUUAAGUGGAUAUCGUUGGAUUCCUUGGAUUGUAGUUCGAGUUUCACUGCUGAAAAUCUCCAUUUGCGACUUUGAAGUUUAUCGACUUAGCUCAGAUUUGAAUUUCGUUGAGGAUUUGAGUUUGAAUUCGAUUGGGUGUUCAUGAUUCUGGUUGGAAAAAUCAUUGUGAAGCACAAUCUAAAGUGUGGGAUCGAUUUGGGCUAGUUUUGCUAGCGUUUCAUUCAGAAAAUUCGAACAAAUUGUUUGACGAAGAAGACGAAUUUAGAUCUUUCGAUUUUGCUGUUGUUUGCUCAAAUUAAUCACUGGGGUUUGGUAUUGGGGUUGGUUAGAGUUAUCAUUUCAAGUUUGAAAUUAUUUAGUGAAGAUUUGGGUGAGAUUGGAUCGUCUUGGGGCUGCUAAAGCACGAAGAAUACUUCCAGUUCUUCAGUCGAUAAACUUAGAACAGAUUGCAAUUUCUGGGUUCAAAAUUUGAAGUCGAGCAUCACCACACAAACAAUUCGCCUCCCUGAUUCAGCUUGUUGCCCGUUUGUGGUGCCUUGUUCUUUUCCAGAAGACUUAUUUGGCUGAUAGAAUCUACAGAGCCUGUUUGCAUCAGUUGUUUUGCACCAGUCUUUUUUCCACAUUUUUGGAGGUGAAUUGAAUUGGUUUUGGACCAAGACAGGAAGCUGCUAACUCUAGACCUUUGAGCUGCUGAAAUUGCAGCUUUAGAUAGCAUUUUGAGUUCGGAAAUCAUUGGCUUUGGGCUGAUUUCUGUAGCAUGUGACAACCCUUCUGGAAAUUGAAGUACUCAGCUGUUUUUGAACCAUUUAAGCUGCAGCUCCUUUCCAUGUUCCCUGUGUACACAACAUAUUGAAAACAAAUUGCUUGGUUGACUAUUUUGGUUUAGCCAAAGAUUAAGUUGUUUUUGAUCAGUUUGAGCAGUAACUUGUCAGCAUUUUCUGCACUAUUUGAGCAGCAAUUCCACAGUAAGAUCUACAACAACUUGAACAGCAGAAAAAAACUGCACAAUUGAGCAGAAACUUUCAGGACUGCUGCUGCUGCUAGUUCUAGCCUUGAAUUCUACCUUGAGCCAGUUGUAAAGGCUCUGGGCAUCAAUUUUGCACUCGGUUACAGUGCACCAGUUGUGUACCUGUUCUCCUCAGUAUUUUGCACCAGCUGAGCAGCUGAAAUUUGCAGCUUUAGCCAGCAUCUUAGCUGGGAAAUCAGUAGGUUGUUGGAACUAUUUGACAUAGCUUUGGCCAAACUUUGAACUUGAAAACUUUGAUCUUUGUUAAGCCGCAGUACUGCAAUUCUGCUGUCAAAAAUAUUUCUGGAGAAAACCAGAUUUCUUUCCACAGUUUUGAAGCUGUUUUUUGGCUGGAAAAGGUUCUGUAAUAGUUCAGUUUUGGUGAGAUACAGUCCAUCCUUUCUGCAGAGUGUUAAAGUUAGUCUGGAAGAGAUCAGGAUCUGCAGAAGUUGUGCACCAGCAGAGAAUUCAAGAACAUCUGCAGAAGACUAACUUCAGUCUUGCCGAAUCAGAUGAACAAAAGUUGUUCAAGAUUUUGCACCAGUUGAAUUAGUUACAUUGUUGCUUAGUAACUUCUGCAAGAUGCACUAGUGUGAGUCAGUUUGAACUGCAGUAUGCUGAUCAGUUAGCUGCACCUUUUGCUAUAUAUCUUUAGGGAAUUGAGACUAUUUUUUCAGGGAAUUGAGACACUAGCUUGGGACAAUUGGCUAAAGCUUUUGCACUUGACGGAGAAACAGUAGCACAGAACAGCUACUGCUAGCCUGCACAGCCUUGCAAACCUGUCCGAAUUUUACAGAUGUGUCCAGUUCUGCAAAAUGACAUGUUUUACAAAAAUAGCCAAUUUUGCGAAUAUGACCCAAAUUUGAAAAAAAAGAGUCUAGUUUUGUAGUUUCUUUUCUUUUCUUUCUUUCGAUUUAUAGUUAACUAAGUUCUAAACUAGAUUAACUUGAUAUUAGUUCAUAUUAUUUCUAGUUUCUUG